rnacentral:rRNA from 1 species
UACGUAGGUGGCAAGCGUUGUCCGGAUUUACUGGGCGUAAAGAGCGCGCAGGCGGUCGUUCAAGUCGCGUGUGAAAGCCCCCGGCUCAACUGGGGAGGGUCAUUCGAUACUGAUCGACUCGAAGGCAGGAGAGGGUAGUGGAAUUCCCGGUGUAGUGGUGAAAUGCGUAGAUAUCGGGAGGAACAUCAGUGGCGAAGGCGGCCUUCUGGUCCAGUACUGACACUCAAGUGCGAAAGCG